UUCGGUUAGUCGGGGUGCAAAAUCGCUGAGAAAUACCCGUGAACCUGAAGCAGUUAGCACUGACGUAGGAAACUAAUCUUCUCUUCCU
rnacentral:ncRNA from 2 species